GGCCUCUUUUCCCUGGGGCUGCAGGGGGUUUCUUUUCUCCUCAGCCAGGGCUGGAGGCCAAGAUCAAACCUUGAGGGUUAUUGUCAGGGCUGUCACGAGCUGGGCAGCCUUGUUUUCCUACUUCAGACAUUU
ensembl:snoRNA small Cajal body-specific RNA 20